UACGUAGGGUGCGAGCGUUGUCCGGAAUUAUUGGGCGUAAAGAGCUUGUAGGCGGUUUGUCGCGUCUGCUGUGAAAAUCCGGGGCUCAACCCCGGACUUGCAGUGGGUACGGGCAGACUAGAGUGUGGUAGGGGAGACUGGAAUUCCUGGUGUAGCGGUGAAAUGCGCAGAUAUCAGGAGGAACACCGAUGGCGAAGGCAGGUCUCUGGGCCACUACUGACGCUGAGAGACGAAAGCUAGGGGAGCGAAUGGG
rnacentral:rRNA from 1 species